rnacentral:lncRNA from 1 species
GGGACCGCUUUCGAUUUUUAUUGUGGGUAGUCCGCACAAAGAGGCGUGUUAUUGUAUUUAAAAGAACCAUCUGUAGCAGAAACAAUGGCAUCAAAUUAUCUUUGAAUACCCACUGAAAAAACAUAAAGCUUUUUUUUUUAUUCUUCUGUACGGUGGGGGGAUAGAGCACUGUUGGGCUAACUGACUUUUUUGUUGUUCUCUGGGUACGUUCUUCUCUCUCCCCUCUCCCUCUCCCUCACCCUCUCUUCACUCUCCACUCUCUCUCUCUCCCUCUCUUUCGCUCUCUCGCUCGCUCGCUCGCUCUCUCUUUUAAAAAAUCAGCCAUUUGGGGUUUUAAGCCAUAAACGAUCUUUCUUGUUGCAGGGGCUCGCAGUGGCAAAGCUAAGCUAGGACUUGGAGGCUUCUGGCAGGCGAGGCGGGUGGAGGAGGAAGGAGGCUGACAGAUCCACUGGGGGGAAGAAAAGCCGAACUGGAUUCACCGUGUCCUGGAUGGAAAAGGAGGAGGAGGAAGAGGAGGAGGAGGAGAGGAGGAGGAGGAGGAGGACAGAGAGGGGAACCGCGGAGCUCCUUCAACUCGCGCUGUCCGGUGAGAAGUGAGCAAGCAGGGACUGAUAGGAGGCUCCGGGAGCCCUCGCCUCCUUUCGCUUUUUUACCUGCCAAUCAAACCGCUACAAGACAACACCCUGAUCUGGCAUGGACAUAUUCCAAGAUUCACAAGAAAUCAGGAUAAUGGAGAAACCUUUGCAGCCUUCCAGAAAUCAGAGAUCUGAGAAGUAAAAGAAAAAAAAAAACAUGUCCAGGAAGAAUCACAGGAAAGUAACCAUUUUUUUCCUCUUUAAUAUUAACAGCAACAUUCAAAGGAACUUGAAUUUCAAGGUGCCCAGACUUCCAAACAAUUAGAAAGCUGAUUUCCUGGUACCCUCAGAUGGGCAGCUUUUAGAAUAUUCCAGUUCCAGGCUGGCACCCCAAACACCUCUCAGUGGGAUUCAGUAGAACAUAUGAAAUGGUUUGCUAUUUAGGGCUGAGCAUCGUUUGGGGGAACUUUUGUACAAGAUUCCAUGGGGAAGAGAAGGAGCCUCUCCUUUGAAAGGGUUAACUGGGUAGGAGGUUGACAAAAGCGAGGAGAGCGGUUUGUUAAAGCACUUAGUUUAAUUUGAGAAGAUGUACAGAUAGAAAAUAGGAGGGAGGAAAGAGAAAUAUUUUGUAUUUUUGUCUCUCGAGUAGCAUCCUGUAUCCUGUCGAGUUUUUCACCAACACCUCUAUAGGGAGACCGAACUGGCCACGUCCAUCUCCAUGCCUUGCCUUAGACUGAUGUAGCCCCAUUUCCUUUUCCUCUUGAUUCCCCUCUUUAACAAGAAGUUAGACAAACUAAACCAAAUCCUCUCACAGGAGGAAAAACCGACCAAUCAACCCGGGGCAUUUUUCUGAUGCCAAAUAACCAUUUCGCUCAUUUUUCUUUUUA